GGAGGAGUACCCAAGAGGCUGAAGGGGCUGGCUUGGAAAGCUAGUAGAUUCUUAACAGGAUGCGCGAGUUCAAAUCUCGUCUCCUCCGCCA
rnacentral:tRNA from 1 species